GAUGAUGACGAAAUAAAAUUCUUCACUUUGACCUGAUCUUCAUUGAUGAGGACCUUUGUUCUGAUU